UACAGAGGGGGCUAGCGUUGCUCGGAAUCACUGGGCGUAAAGCGCACGUAGGCGGCUUUCUAAGUCAGGGGUGAAAUCCUGGAGCUCAACUCCAGAACUGCCUUUGAUACUGGGAAGCUUGAGUCCGGAAGAGGUGAGUGGAACUCCGAGUGUAGAGGUGAAAUUCGUAGAUAUUCGGAAGAACACCAGUGGCGAAGGCGGCUCACUGGUCCGGUACUGACGCUGAGGUGCGAAAGCGUGGGGAGCAAGCAGG
rnacentral:rRNA from 1 species